GGCUGACUUCCUUUUUCUCUCUGAUGGCGCCCACACGAAGUGCUGGGUGGGGCAGGUCUCACCAAACGGAGCCUCAACGGAGAGGCUGUGGCAGUCUCAGAACGGGGCCACCGAACCAGAAGGGCGAGCCCCCUGAUUUGUUUAAGCCACUGUGGUCAGGUUUGCUGUCACUUUCAGCCAAAAGCCUUCCUCUCUGGUACACCGCCAGCUCCUGUGAUCCAGGGAGCUGCCGCGGAGGAUGCCUGGGGGGAUAGACAGACAGGACGCCCGGCCUGCCUGGUGCUCGGAGGGUUGCCCCUGUGACCUGAUGCAGCCGGGUUCCUGGCCUUCUCUGGACUCACUCAGGAUGAGUCACCCUGGUUCUGACGCCCGGGAACCCUGGAAGGUCCAUCCCACCCUUUAGCCGGCUCUGCCCAGAGGCAUCAGUUAUGGUUGCAGACUUUGCUCAGGCUUCAGCUGGAGCCCCUGCUUCUGGAAAUGCAUGGUGACCCUUGAUUGGGAAAAGAUACGUUUCCAUAGAGUGGAUAUCUGCAAAGGAGGGGCGAGGGUUCUCCCAGACCUUGUGUAUUACACGGGGUGGGCGGCAGGAGCUUGGAGGAGCUGAGCGCUCAGCUGCCUGCUUUUUGCACAGUGUCUGCAUCUAAGGAGCAGCCGAGUCAGAGCCUGGCCUCAGGAGACACAGGACUUUCUCAAGACUCCACCGUGGGUGUGCUGAGCCCAGAAGGGGAACCUGCCCACUUCUGCCACAAGCACUGUGCAGACUGCCCUGGCUCAGCCUGGCAAUGACCGCGCUGCACUGGAGAUGAACAGCUCUUUCCCCCUCCUGUGAACAUCUUGACAAUACUUUCCUCAUUAACCACAUUAAGCUCUGCCACCAAGAGCCUUGUCAUGAUGAUCACACUAAGGGAGAGGUGUGAGAGGCUGGAGACCCUCUCUCCUUUAGAUUUGCAUUGACUGUGGGUGAAGAAGACUCAGAUCUUUUUUUUUUUUUUUAAUGAAAAGAUCCAGGAUCCAGGGGUAAGAAAUGUACUAGUGAAUAGAAGACAAUGUGGCAAGACAACCCCCCUCCAGUUUUUAAACUCAUGGUCACCUUGAUUUCAACUAUUUUGGAUGAUUUUAUUUGGUGGAGGGUCGGGGGGAGGUGCUGGAAGAAAGCUUGUCUCUUAAUUACUUGACCUUGAAGUAACAGACAAGGGCAGUGUGUCUGAAUCAGCUGGUGGGUUCUGAAGUUUUAAAGGAAGUCUUGGAGUCACCUGCCUGCGUGUUCCGGAUCUGAUCCUCACCUCUUUUCCAGCAUCGCCUGAUGGGCCGAUGAACCGUGCUGCUGCAGUUUGAGGCGGACAACAAGGGGACUUCACCACACUCUGAGAUGCUAUUUCUAACCCUCCCCAUUUACAGAGGAGGAGUUUGAGGCAGAGAGCAGCAUAUGCCGGUAUUCAGAGAGCAUAGCUUAUGAGCUCAGGCUAAGGUGGGAGAAGAAGGGGACAACAGAAGAUGAGAUGGUUGGAUGGCAUCACCGACUAGAUGGACAUGAGUUUGAACAAGCUCCGGGAGUUGGUGAUGGACAGGGAGGCCUGGCAUGCUUCAGUCCACGGGUUGCAAAGAGUCGGACACGACUGAGCGACUGAACUGAACUUCUGUGGCUUUGUGACCUCCCAAGUCUCCUAAGAACUUCAGCCCAAACUAAAGAUGCUGGAAAAGAUUGAAGGCAGAGGGAGAAGGGAGCCACAGAGGAUAAAAUGGUUGGAUGGCAUCAUUGGCUCAACGGACGUGAGUGUGAGUGAACUCUGGGAGAUGGUGAAGGACAGGGAAGCCUGGCGUGCUGCAGUCCAUGGGGUUGCAAACAGUUGAACACAACUGAGUGACUGAACAACAACAACAACCCUUGCAUGUAGGCCAGCUGAAACCCCACUCUUUCCUGGAGGCUCACUGCAGGUGGCCACACCUCUGGGAAGCCCUUCAGAUUCUCACAGUCAAACAGGACUUUUUUGGCCUCCACAUUCCCCUGGUGCUUUGCACGAGCAAAUAACUUACUGCAGAAUCAUUUGUGUCCCUGUCUUUAAGUUCCAAAGCGGAGAAACUAUACUUUGUUUAUUUGUGUGCCUUGCUUGUAGUAGGUGUUCAGUAAAUGCUUGUACUAGUAGGUGCUUAAUAAAUGGGUUUGAAU